rnacentral:rRNA from 1 species
GGCUUAAUACAUGCAAGUCGUGGGGCAGCGCAGGUAGCAAUACUGGGCGGCGACCGGCAAACGGGUGCGGAACACGUACACAACCUUCCGAGAAGUGGGGAAUAGCCCAGAGAAAUUUGGAUUAAUACCCCGUAACAUAACGAUGUGGCAUCACAUUGUUAUUAUAGCUUCGGCGCUUCUUGAUGGGUGUGCGGCUGAUUAGAUAGUUGGCGGGGUAACGGCCCACCAAGUCUACGAUCAGUAGCUGAUGUGAGAGCAUGAUCAGCCACACGGGCACUGAGACACGGGCCCGACUCCUACGGGAGGCAGCAGUAAGGAAUAUUGGUCAAUGGACGCAAGUCUGAACCAGCCAUGCCGCGUGAAGGAUUAAGGUCCUCUGGAUUGUAAACUUC